GGGCAGAUGUGCCCUGCUGAAGGAGGAUGGACCAACAUGCCUGGCCCUCUCCCGAGUCGCCUUUUCGACAGCCCUCCUCUCCUUCACCUUGUCUUGGAUGGCUUUCGGAGUUGGCAUCAUGGUGGUGGAAGGGAGAGAAUUUUUUUUUUGCAGAAAUAAAGGGAAGAAAGGUAAAAGAUUGAGUUCGAUCGAUCCCUAUUUAUAGGCACCAACAUCCACACU
rnacentral:lncRNA from 1 species